rnacentral:rRNA from 1 species
CAAUAGCGUAUAUUAACGUUGUUGCAGUUAAAAAGCUCGUAGUUGGAUUUCUGGAGGGAGCGUCGGCCCGUAUUUACGAGUGCGUGACGUCUCUGUCCAUCCUUGCGGGAAGGCACGGCAUUGAUUUGUUGUGUCGGAUCGCAUCAUUUACUGUGAAAAAAUUAGAGUGUUCAAAGCAGGCUUUCGCUUGAAUACAUUAGCAUGGAAUAAUAAGAUAGGACUUUGGUGCUAUUUUGUUGGUUGAGCCUAAAGUAAUGAUUAAUAGGGAUAGUUGGGGGCACCUGCAUUGCGUUGUCAGAGGUGAGAUUCUUGGAUUUACGCAAGACAAACAGCUGCGAAAGCGUCUGCCAAGGAUGUUUUCAUUAA